rnacentral:rRNA from 1 species
GUGGGGAAUCUUAGACAAUGGGGGAAACCCUGAUCUAGCCAUGCCGCGUGAGCGAUGAAGGCCUUAGGGUUGUAAAGCUCUUUCAGCUGGGAAGAUAAUGACGGUACCAGCAGAAGAAGCCCCGGCUAACUCCGUGCCAGCAGCCGCGGUAAUACGGAGGGGGCUAGCGUUGUUCGGAAUUACUGGGCGUAAAGCGCACGUAGGCGGAUUGGAAAGUUGGGGGUGAAAUCCCGGGGCUCAACCCCGGAACUGCCUUCAAAACUCCCAGUCUUGAGGUCGAGAGAGGUGAGUGGAAUUCCGAGUGUAGAGGUGAAAUUCGUAGAUAUUCGGAGGAACACCAGUGGCGAAGGCGGCUCACUGGCUCGAUACUGACGCUGAGGUGCGAAAGCGUGGGGAGCAAACAGGAUUAGAUACCCGAGUAGUCC